GAAAGGAAUCAUCCCGGCCCCGGGC
rnacentral:piRNA from 1 species